CCCGCUGAACUUAAGCAUAUCAAUAAGCGGAGGAAAAGAAACUAACAAGGAUUCCCCUAGUAACGGCGAGUGAAGCGGGAAGAGCUCAAAUUUAAAAUCUGGUUUGCUUUGCAAAUCCGAGUUGUAGUCUGAAGAAACGUUUUCCAUGAAAGCUGAGGCACAAGUCCUUUGGAACAGGGCAUCAUAGAGGGUGAGAAUCCCGUCCAUGGUCUCAAGCCUUUCAUUUUGUGAUACGUUUUCUAAGAGUCAGGUUGUUUGGGAAUGCAGCCUAAAAUGGGUGGUAAAUUUCAUCUAAAGCUAAAUACAGGCACGAGACCGAUAGCGAACAAGUACCGUGAGGGAAAGAUGAAAAGCACUUUGAAAAGAGAGUCAAAAGCACGUGAAGCUGUUAAAAUGGAAACGAUUGAAGUCAGCAGUGUGCCAGAGGUAAUCAGCCGUGUUGGCUUGAGGCCUGCUAGUCGGGACAGCGUAAGCGUCUGGUUGGCAGUACGAAGAGUCGGGCGGUGCACUUGUCUCUGGUACGGGUCAGCAUCGGUUUCCUAGCUGCGGGGAGGGGCUGGCGGAAAGGUAGCUCGCUACGGUGAGUGUUAAGUCUGCUGGUCGAGACGCGGCUGAGACCGAGGAGUCGAAGCGUGCCAUUAUGGAUAGGUCCCCAGGCUGUGCCUGCUUUCAUGUGGGUGAGACUGCACGCAGUUGCGCUUGCAUGGGGGUGGUAAUAGUUUGGCGGAGUCAUACACACGCUACGGAUGCUGACGAAAUGGCUUUAACCGACCCGUCUUGAAACACGG
rnacentral:rRNA from 1 species